rnacentral:rRNA from 1 species
GCAGGCGCGAAACCUUUACACUGUACGCAAGUGCGAUAAGGGGACUCCGAGUGUGAAGGCAUAGAGCCUUCACUUUUGUACACCGUAAGGUGGUGUACGAAUAAGGGCUGGGCAAGACCGGUGCCAGCCGCCGCGGUAAUACCGGCAGCCCGAGUGAUGGCCGAUAUUAUUGGGCCUAAAGCGUCCGUAGCUGGCCGGACAAGUCCGUUGGGAAAUCUGUUCGCUUAACGAGCAGGCGUCCAGCGGAAACUGUUCGGCUUGGGACCGGAAGACCUGAGGGGUACGUCCGGGGUAGGAGUGAAAUCCUGUAAUCCUGGACGGACCACCGGUGGCGAAAGCGCCUCAGGAGGACGGAUCCGACAGUGAGGGACGAAAGCUAGGGUCUCGAACCGGAUUAGAUACCCGGGUAGUCCUAGCUGUAAACGAUGCCCGCUAGGUGUGGCGCAGGCUACGAGCCUGCGCUGUGCCGUAGGGAAGCCGAGAAGCGGGCCGCCUGGGAAGUACGUCUGCAAGGAUGAAACUUAAAGGAAUUGGCGGGGGAGCACUACAACCGGAGGAGCCUGCGGUUUAAUUGGACUCAACGCCGGACAUCUCACCAGCUCCGACAGUAGUAAUGACGGUCAGGUUGAUGACCUUACCCGAUGCUACUGAGAGGAGGUGCAUGGCCGCCGUCAGCUCGUACCGUGAGGCGUCCUGUUAAGUCAGGCAACGAGCGAGACCCGCACUCCUAAUUGCCAGCAGUACCCUUUGGGUAGCUGGGUACAUUAGGUGGACUGCCGCUGCUAAAGCGGAGGAAGGAACGGGCAACGGUAGGUCAGUAUGCCCCGAAUGAGCUGGGCAACACGCGGGCUACAAUGGUCGAGACAAUGGGAUGCAACUCCGAGAGGAGGCGCUAAUCUCCUAAACUCGAUCGUAGUUCGGAUUGAGGGCUGAAACUCGCCCUCAUGAAGCUGGAUUCGGUAGUAAUCGCGUGUCCGAAGCGCGCGGUGAAUACGUCCCUGCUCCUU